AUGUCAAAAAAUUUCAAAUAAGAUAAAAGGAGUAAUAAAUUACAGCUAAAUAAAUUCUCUCCUGCGUUAUACCUUCUUUUUGGUCUUGCCUUCAUCUUCAUCAUCCUCAUCCUCAUCUUCAUCCUCGUCCUCUUCAUCAUCUUCAUCAUCAAGCUCAUCAAUAUCAUCAUCGUCGUCGUCAUCAUCGUCAUCUAGGCCAAGGUCAUCCCCUGGGAUAGCCUCACCCGUAAACCACGACAC
rnacentral:lncRNA from 1 species